GACGAACGCUGGCGGCGUGCCUAACACAUGCAAGUAGAACGCUGCAGUGAGGAGUUUACUCUUCUGGGAUGAGUUGCGAACGGGUGAGUAACGCGUAGGUAACCUGCCUUGUAGCGGGGGAUAACUAUUCGAAACGAUAGCUAAUACCGCAUAACAUUGGAUGACACAUGUCACUUACUUGAAAUGGGCAAUUUCUCCACUACAAGAUGGACCUGCGUUGUAUUAGCUAGUAGGUGAGGUAAUGGCUAACCUAGGCGACGAUACAUAGCCGACCUGAGAGGGUGAUCGGCCACGCUGGGACGGGAGGAGGGCCCAGACUACUGGGAGAGGCAGAAGUAGGGAAUCUGCGGGGAUGGGAGCAGCGGUGACCAAGCAACGCCGCGUGAGUGAAGAAGGUAGUCGGGUCGUGAAGCUGUGGAGUAAGUCAGGAACGGAUGUGAGUGUGGAAAGUGCACACUGUGACGGUAGCUGACCAAAAAGGGACGGCUAACUACGUG
rnacentral:rRNA from 1 species